ACAACAACAAAAUCAUUAACAGUGUUUUAGAUUAGUUCAUGCCUUCCUUCCUCCAUUUCAAUUUCACGAUUUUGUUCAGUGCACAGUCUCGCGGAAAAGUAAACAAAAACAGCGAUUGUGAGGAACAAAUUUCCAAUCCAGAAAUCCCAUAAUGCGAUUUUGUCGGUGCGUUCAUAUGAUGGCAGUAACACCGAUGGUAGCCAGGUAUCGAUGCGGAAAGAUAAUAAGCUGGCCAACAGACACAGGAGGAUAGAAUGCAGAAAAUUGCUGUGAAAUUACAGAAAAAAACGGAAAAUCCAGGAGAUUGAACCCUUGAACCGCCCAAAGAAGCUGCGCAAUUAAUGCAACUGCAGGGGAACGCAACCAGGGGCAAAUUCUGCAACAACAGGAACAAUUUAAAACGCCGGUCUUCUCAGCAAUCGAUUCCUCUUGCUCAAUAUUGAAGCAACAAUAAAGUUUUAAACAAGUUCGCGAAAAGCAAAAAACUAUCAAGCCAACUUGCGUUCCCGGAACUGGAUGCAAUCGGUAGCUCGUACCGUCUCCCAUGGUUUGGUGAGACAAAAGGAAACUAUCUUCAGCUGCGGCGGUCCGAUGAAGACCCUGGCGAAUAGGAACUAGAGUUGAACCUACAAACUGUCCGACGUUUACCUGAAGAAGGAUGUUUAUUCGACCGGAUGUUUGCAAGACCAGUGGAAGCUACGGAUCUGUACGAUUAGCAAACGUUGGUGAAGCUAUCUGUGGUCGCGACACAGCUGUAUGCCAUUUCCUAGCUUGAGUUCAUAAAUGAUUCAUGCUUGCUGGUCGGCAUAUAAUAAAGCUAAACCGGAUAUGUUUAUUGGCCAGCAAUUCGUUUGAAAAAGCGACUUUUCGAGGGCGAAUUGAAUAAGGAAUUAUCGCCCAAAUCGUAUUAUGCAGUUGAUCUCCAGAGAAGCAUAAUGGGCUCGACAGAUGCGAUUGCAAUUGCUUCCGUAGACUUGCUGGUUGAAGGUUGGGAAAAAGUGAAUUUUGCGGUUGUUGCCCACGUCGCCAGGAGAGAAUUUUCAAGGUGCAAGUUAGCCCUUUCGGACAAAUAAACGAAUUCAAAAUUCGAAAAAAUCA